CGGUUCCAGGAGGACUUGAACCUCCAACCUAUCGGUUACAGCCGAUUGCUCUGACCAGUUGAGCUAUGGAACC
rnacentral:tRNA from 1 species